GCGGGCGUAGCUUAGUCUGGUUCAAAGCGUCUGAUUGUCAGUCAGAAGAUCGCCGGUCCAAAUCCGGUCGCCCGCGCCA
rnacentral:tRNA from 1 species